rnacentral:rRNA from 1 species
GACGAACGCUGGCGGCGUGCUUAACACAUGCAAGUCGAACGGUGACGACAGGGCUUGCCUUGUCUGAUCAGUGGCGAACGGGUGAGUAACACGUGAGUAACCUGCCCCUGACUCUGGGAUAACCCCGGGAAACCGGAGCUAAUACCGGAUAUGACACCAAUCCGCAUGGGUAUGGUGUGGAAAGUUUUUCGGUCUGGGAUGGACUCGCGGCCUAUCAGCUUGUUGGUGAGGUAAUGGCUCACCAAGGCGACGACGGGUAGCCGGCCUGAGAGGGCGGCCGGCCACACUGGGACUGAGACACGGCCCAGACUCCUACGGGAGGCAGCAGUGGGGAAUAUUGCACAAUGGGCGAAAGCCUGAUGCAGCGACGCCGCGUGAGGGAUGACGGCCUUCGGGUUGUAAACCUCUUUCAGCAGGGAAGAAGCGCAAGUGACGGUACCUGCAGAAGAAGCACCGGCUAACUACGUGCCAGCAGCCGCGGUAAAAC